rnacentral:rRNA from 1 species
UGCAGAAUCCCGUGAACCAUCGAGUCUUUGACGCAAGUUGCGCCCGAAGCCAUUAGGCCGAGGGCACGUCUGCCUGGGCGU